GACGAACGCUGGCGGCGUGCUUAACGCAUGCAAGUCGAACGGAAAGGCCCCUUUGGGGGUCCUCGAGUGGCGAACGGGUGAGUAACACGUGAGUAACCUGCCCUUGACUUCGGGAUAACUUCAGGAAACUGGGGCUAAUACCGGAUAGGAAUCCUUGCUGCAUGGUGGGGGUUGGAAAGCUUCGGCGGUUUUGGAUGGACUCGCGGCUUAUCAGCUUGUUGGUGGGGUAGUGGCUUACCAAGGCUUUGACGGGUAGCCGGCCUGAGAGGGCGACCGGCCACAUUGGGACUGAGAUACGGCCCAGACUCCUACGGGAGGCAGCAGUGGGGAAUAUUGCACAAUGGGCGGAAGCCUGAUGCAGCAACGCCGCGUGCGGGAUGACGGCCUUCGGGUUGUAAACCGCUUUCAGCAGGGGCGAAGCUUGUGGUGACGGUACCUGCAGAAGAAGCACCGGCUAACUACGUG
rnacentral:rRNA from 1 species